GGCGAGAUGGCCGAGCGGUCCAAGGCGCCAGACUAAGGUACAUAGACCAGCUCAUGAGAUGAGCGACCAAUCUGGUCUCUUCGGGGGCGCGAGUUCGAAUCUCGCUCUCGUCA